rnacentral:lncRNA from 1 species
UUAAAGAGUAUGGAUUAUUAUUAUUAUUAUUAUUAUACCACUCCUCUAGCUCUCUUGCUUGCCUGGACUUUGGUCCAAGGCUUCAAUUUGUUAGUAGCAUUAACAACAAGUAGAAACAGAAAGCUUCCUCCAGGACCUUUUCCAUUACCCAUAAUCGGAAAUCUUCACUUACUGGGCAAUCAACCUCAUAAAUCCCUUGCCAAACUCGCCGAUUUUCAUGGCCCAAUUAUGCGUCUGAAUUUGGGGCAAAUAACAACUGUGGUGAUUUCUUCUUCAAACAUGGCCAAACAAGUGCUCCAAAAGCAAGAUUCAGCCUUUUCUAGCAGGUCAAUUCCUGAUAUAGUCAAAGAGGAAAAUUUUCACAUGUUCUCCGUUGGUUGGCUUCCUGCUUCCCAUCCUCAAUGGAGAACUCUCCGCAAAAUCAUGACUUCCCACAUCUUCUCCAUUAACAAGCUUGAUGCCAGUCAGCACCUUAGGUACGUAUUGUGUGACUACGUCUUCAUCUAAAAAUUUAAACAGUUAAAGAAAUCAAACUUUGUUUAAUUAAUUAUGUUUUCCUUAGAAGCUAGAUAUUUUUGAUAACAAUGAUAGUGAGAUUUGACUCAGAACUUCUAUUUGCUCUAAUAUCUCAAAAUUCUUUGGGCUCGUUUGGACAAUGUGAUAUGAAAUCAGGUUGAUAUAAAGGUGAGACACGCAAUUUAAAUUUUUGAAGAUGUAUUUUUUCUCAUAAAUAGGAAAAUUCUACAAGUUGUGAAAACCAUAGAAAAAUUUCAAUUCUAAUACAAUAUUACCAAAUAAGCAAAUUAUAGUUCAUAAAUUUCUAAUACAAUCUUACCAAAUAAGCAAAUAAUAGUUCAUAAAUAAGAUAUCGUGAUAUCCUAAGACGAUACAUUGACAAAUCAUGUAUCUUUAUGUUUCUUUUAUAAAUAACUUCCAAAUACAACUAAUUUUAUAAAGAUCCACUAGUCAAUGAAAAUACUACUCAGUAACUAGUUAUUGUUUAAUAUAAUCUUUAAGACAGUGUACAUACAAUUUCUUUAUGCUAAACAUGAGUCUUUUUUUUCUUUUCGCAACGAUGGAUCUUUUUUUACAAAAUUUGAAAGCAUGAUUCGACAUGUUAAAUCACAUAGAAAUUUUGAUUUUUCAAAUCACAUGUCCUAACUCCUGGCUCUGAUUUUAACUAAUGAUUUUAUAUCACAUAUAAAAAAAUAAUUAAGUUAAACUGCUAGAGAAAACACAUGAGUUUUACACUAAUUAUUUACUUAAUCAUGUUUUUUAUAAGGUACAAGAAGAUCCAAGAACUUGUUGCUUACUGUAAAAGGAGUAGCCAAAUGGGGGAGGCGGUACAUAUUGAUGAUGCAAUUUUCAGGACCAUGUUGAACUUACUUUCUAACACUCUCUUCUCAAAGGACUUGGCAGAUCCGUAUGAAAAUUCUGGUAAAGAAUUUAAGGAAUUGAUGGAGGGAAUGAUGAUGGACAUGGGUAAACCAAAAUUGGUAGACUACUUUCCCGUCCUGAAAAUAGUACAUCCGGAAGGUCUAAGGCGAUAUAAUUCUCGUUUGGGGAAACUACUAAAGCUAUUUUAUGGAUUCAUAAAUGAGAGGCUGGAGAUAAGGAAAUCCCCAAAUUAUCAAAACACUGAUGUUUUAGAUGCCUUAAUCACAACAAGUGAACAGAAUCCCCAAGAAAUUGAUCACAUGCAUAUAGCAACAAUGUGUUUGGUGAGCUAUCUUUAAUUCUCUUUCUAUUUUUAAUUGAUUGGCCUGGGGGGUUUGCAAUAAACCCUCGUGAGUCCUGACCCACAAAAGUAAAAGUUCAUGCUAACCAACUAAGUUACUAAAUGAAGAUCUGUUGUAGAAAGGAUAUAAAAUUAAAAACAAGUUUGUGGAGGGCUACACAACUAAAUUUUACCACCUAUGUUUCCUGUUGACAAAUACUGAAAUCAUUAAAUAUGCCUGCAUUGGUGAAUUAUCUGUAUGUGGCCGGUUUGCAUGAUUAAUUUCAUGAGUAAUUUUCACCUCAAAAUUGUGUGCGUAUCUCAGGACCUAUUUGAUGCCGGAACUGACUCAAGUUCCGGCGUAGUGGAAUGGGCUAUGACUGAGCUUCUUAAAGCUCCAGAGAUUAUGAAGAGAGUCCAAGCCGAGUUAAUACAAGUUCUCGGAGAAGGCAACGCGAUGGAGGAAGCUGAUGUUGCCCGACUCCCGUACUUGCAGUGCAUUAUCAAAGAAACUUACAGGAUGCACCCUCCAGCUCCUUUUUUGGUACCUCGAAAAGUAGAGCAAGAUGUUGAGGUGUGUGGCUACACUGUCCCUAAAGAUUCAAAAGUGUUGAUUAAUGUGUGGGCAAUUGGCCGAGACUCAACUUUUUGGGAAGACCCUUUGGUGUUUAAUCCUGAUAGAUUUAAGGAUUCAAAAUUGGAUGUGCGAGGUCAAGAUUUUGAGUUAAUUCCAUUUGGCGCUGGUAGAAGAAUUUGUCCUGGUAUGCCAUUGGCAAUAAGGAUGAUCCCAGUAAUGCUUGGCACACUGUUGAAUACAUUUAAAUGGAAAAUUGAGGGUGACAUUGAACCAAAAGACUUGGACAUGCAGGAGAAAUUUGGCCUCACCUUAACCAAACUUCGUCCUCUCAGAGCUGUCCCACUUCCACUAUGAAAUCCAAAAUCAGAUGGCUUCCUACAAAAGGCAAUGUUUUAUGGAUGAUGAAAACAUUGUAACUAACAUUUCAUUUCCAAUAAAUAAAUAAUUUAGUAUAUGUACAUUUUGUAGGGAAGGAAAUUAUAGUUACUUCCUAAGAAAGAGAUGGGGAAGAAAAUGAGGUGAAUCGUACUCCACAUAUUAAAUGUCAAACCAUUUAUUAGAUGGCCAAUAAUAAAUGUUACUCAUUUGAUAGGUCACCCUAAAUAUAUUAGUACAACAUGUUUAAAAAAAAAUAUUGAAAUAUCAAAUGAGGUAAAUAGUCAUAUAUAUGUAUCAUAUAAUAGUAAAUAUAUAAAAUAAUAUUAGUAAAAUUAAUUAUUUAGAUGUUUGAAUUAUGAUUCAUGAUAAGAAGGGAAUCGUUUGUAUUAUUUAUUUAUAUUGAAUAUUUUUAUACGUGUAAAAUGCUACUUUAGUGUAAUUUAAUUGAGAAGUUUUUUGAAAAAUCAAAAUUAUAUUUCUAUAUAACAUUGAACCAUAGAUAUGAAUUUAAUAUGAUAAUGAUAAUAUUUUUAAAUUUGAUAAUUGAAAUUAUCGAACUAAAAUGGUAGAUUUAGUAGCAUAUCAUCCCUAUUACUAGUAACGCCCGACUUCCCCUUAAAUUUAAUAGUCAGCGACUUAGCGUGUUACACAUUUCGCCGAUUGAGUGAUCAAAAACUGUUAUUCGUUAGAUAAGCUUGUUCUAUUGACACUCUUCCACAGUAUAUACCACCAUAAAUUUAUGUCUAAAACUCAUGUUCUUUUUUAUGUUAAUUAGUAGUAAUAACUAUGGAUUAUUAUUACUAUUUUACCACUCCUCUAGCUCUGUUGCUUGCAUGGACUUUGGUCCAAGGCUUCAAUUUGUUACUAGUAGCACUAACAAGAAAUAGAAGCAGAAAGCUUCGUCCAGGACCCUUUCCAUUACCCAUAAUCGGAAAUCUUCACUUACUGGGCAAUCAACCUCAUAAAUCCCUUGCGAAACUCACCGAUUUUCAUGGCCCAAUUAUGCGUCUGAAGUUGGGGCAAAUAACAACAGUGGUCAUUUCUUCUUCAGACAUGGCCAAACAAGUGCUCCAAAAGCAAGACUUAGCCUUCUCUAGCAGGUCAAUUCCUGAUAUAGUCCAAGAGGACAAUUUUCACAUAUUCUCCUUUGGUUGGCUUCCUGCCUCCCAUCCUCAAUGGAGAUCUCUCCGCAAAAUCCUGAAUUCCCACAUCUUCUCCGUUAACAAGCUUGAUGCCACCCAGCACCUUAGG